rnacentral:rRNA from 1 species
UACCCUCGGGAGGGGGAUAACCCCGGGAAACUGGGGCUAAUCCCCCAUAGGCCUGAGGUACUGGAAGGUCCUCAGGCCGAAAGGGGCUCUGCCCGCCCGAGGAUGGGCCGGCGGCCGAUUAGGUAGUUGGUGGGGUAACGGCCCACCAAGCCGAAGAUCGGUACGGGCCAUGAGAGUGGGAGCCCGGAGAUGGACACUGAGACACGGGUCCAGGCCCUACGGGGCGCAGCAGGCGCGAAACCUCCGCAAUGCUCGAAAGAGCGACGGGGGGACCCCCAGUGCCGUGGCAUCGCCACGGCUUUUCCGGAGUGUAAAGAGCUCCGGGAAUAAGGGCUGGGCAAGGCCGGUGGCAGCCGCCGCGGUAAUACCGGCGGCCCGAGUGGUGGCCGCUAUUAUUGGGCCUAAAGCGUCCGUAGCCGGGCCCGUAAGUCCCUGGCGAAAUCCCACGGCUCAACCGUGGGGCUUGCUGGGGAUACUGCGGGCCUUGGGACCGGGAGAGGCGGGGGGUACCCCUGGGGUAGGGGUGAAAUCCUAUAAUCCCAGGGGGACCGCCAGUGGCGAAGGCGCCCCGCUGGAACGGGUCCGACGGUGAGGGACGAAGGCCAGGGGAGCGAACCGGAUUAGAUACCCGGGUAGUCCUGGCUGUAAAGGAUGCGGGCUAGUUGUCGGGC